GUUAUCUUUUUUCCGCUGACAUUUUCGAUCUCAAAUCACAUCAUACUCAUCAUUUGAUCUAGAGGGUUGACUUCAUAAUAAUUGGGUUUUCAGGCACGUGAUCCUGUAGCACUUGCAAUAAACACUAGUACAUGAGCUACAGGCGAUAUUGUCACAAUCUACAUUUACAUUUUGUCACUUAGCAGACGCUUUUAUUCAAAGCGACUUACAAAUGAGAACAAUAGAAGUAAUCAAAAGUAACAAAAGAGCAACAGUAUGUAAUUGCAAAUGUCAAGUCUCAAUCUUUCACAGAGCAAGUAAAAACAAGGCAUGUUCACACAAACCAACAGGUUUUUAGGUUGCCGUGUGUUUGUGCAGCAUGCAAAUAUUUGAGCAGAGAAGAAUAUUUCUGAUAGCAUUCUACCAAACACCCUCAUGCUUUUUCUUGUAAGGUCAAAUGUGAUUACUUCAGAGCACUGUCAGAAAGAAGGCCUCUGGCAGUGUAGUACACACUGCAACAAACACUAGCGCGCAAACGUGCACUGGCCGACAGUGAUGCUGGUCCCUACAGCUGGGUCUCCAGCACAGAGUCGUACACAGUGGUCCACCUGUGACAAUAAACACUGUGAUUACCUCCUAGAGCCUACUGACGCCAUCUAAUAUACUCAAGAGAUCAUCACAAGGACAGGGUGACCAUUCCAUCCGUAUCUCUCUCGCCACAUCUCUCUGACCCAUUCCCACUGCCUCCCCUCGGCCUCAAGGGAAGUACACUGGCUCGAUUCCCACAGCAUUUUCCAUCGGAGCUAACCUGCUCUGCAUGGAUCUGAUUCAGAUCUCCAAAUUGGAGGGCAGAACUCACUAGCUUAGUUCCAAAAAACAUGAGCUCAUGGAAAAGCUGGAACUAUCAGAUUUGGAGGAAUUUAGCAUUACAUCACAUGCUCGCCAAUGGAUCCUCUGCAGUGAAUGAGGCCUGAGUCCAAAUGGCUAAUAAAAACAUCAUCUACAUCUAGAAUGGCUUGCGGGCAGGAAGGGAUGAGGAGAUGCUGGAGAAUACUUCGAAGGAGUUUAAUUCAGGAAACAAGGAGACAACAAACACUGGAACAUCAGGGAUGACAUUUAACAGCAGACAAGGGAGAACAGAACGGGCUAGAACUAAAUAGGGCAGAUAACGAGGGGCAAACAGGCGAGGAGGAUAACUGAUAAAGAGAUACCUGGAACAAAUCAAACAAUCAGGGAGUAGGAACAUACACAAAACACAGGACAGAGUCUGACACAGGGUCACUAAAGGGCAACACUAGUGAUUUUUAUAUCUACUGUAGAACAAUGGCCACCUUAUGCACAGUUACAUUAAACACAUACUCAGAAACCAAAAUAUGGGUCUAGGUCUAAUUUAUUUUUCCUUGAAAAUGUUUACAUGUUCAUUCAGGGAAUCCAGCACAAUCGAUAAAGCAAUGCAUACCUAAAAAAAAUGUUUAAUCUAGUUGUAUACAUUAUUUGUAGCGAACAAAGUAAUACAAAACAGUUAAACAGAAAAAUACAACAGCUCACAGGUACAGCCCCCAUAAGCUUUAUUAUGCCUUUAUUAUGACUUGUUUUGCAUGGUAUAACCCCUUUGUCAUUGCAUGCAAACUAUGUUGGGGUGAUAACACAGUUUUGUUUUGUUUUUUACCUCCCACAGCACUUUCAAUGUAAAAACAAUCUUGUAACAUUCUAGAAGAGAAAGAGAAAAAAUAGGUAAGAGAAACUAAUGCAAUGUCCAUUAAAUGUAGCAAUGCAACAUAAUUAGUUACUUUUUUAAUGAUAAAUAUCGUAACAUACAUACGCUGUAAGAAAAGAAUAAAAACGGAAAAGGUACUGGCCA
ensembl:lncRNA